UACGUAGGGUGCAAGCGUUAAUCGGAAUUACUGGGCGUAAAGCGUGCGCAGGCGGUUUUGUAAGUCUGAUGGGAAAUCCUCGGGCUCAACCUGGGAAUUGCAUUGGAGACUGCAAGGCUAGAAUCUGGCAGAGGGGGGUAGAAUUCCACGUGUAGCAGUGAAAUGCGUAGAGAUGUGGAGGAACACCGAUGGCGAAGGCAGCCCCCUGGGUCAAGAUUGACGCUCAUGCACGAAAGCGUGGGGAGCAAACAGG
rnacentral:rRNA from 1 species